UACGUAGGUGGCAAGCGUUGUCCGGAUUUAUUGGGUUUAAAGGGUGCGUAGGCGGCCCUGUAAGUCAGUGCUGAAAUAUCCCGGCUUAACCGGGAGGGUGGCAUUGAUACUGCAGGGCUUGAGUACAGAUGAAGUAGGCGGAAUUGACGGUGUAGCGGUGAAAUGCAUAGAUAUCGUCAAGAACACCGGUAGCGAAGGCAGCUUACUAAGCUGUAACUGACGCUGAGGCACGAAAGUGUGGGGAUCAAACAGG
rnacentral:rRNA from 1 species